GAUAUACUUAUAUAUGUAGCUGGACAUGUUUCAUUGGAUGUGGAUGAUGCUGCUUUUAAGGGUCCAUUUAGUGGUGUACAGCAUGAUCAGGUUGAUCCACUAGGAUGCAGGUGGAGGAUUCGAUUGAUUGGUGCUGGCAAUCCGGUGCCGCACGUAGUUAUAUAUUAUAGGGAUCAGUUAGAUCAGCAGCGUGAUUAUCAGAUAUUAUGGGUGCCUUACACACUAGAUAUAUUGGCCACAUUACCCGAGAUAUGCCCAUCAGAUCAGCAUGUAUAGAGGACACGCACACCUCUAUUUGUUUCGACAUCGUAGAGAUUUAUUGUUCGGAGCACUUGAUGCGACAGUUUGGCAUGCACCAGGACGUUCCCCCAUCAUAUGACACUCGAGAUGCUCUCCACCAUUUGGAUCGAUGAGGGUGACAUCUUCAUGAUUGGGUUCAAAAGCAUCGGGAGCAUAUUGAUGCAUGGGAGCGACGAGAGGAUUUGAUUGUUGCUGGUCCACCCAUGCUUCCCAUGAUGGAUUAUUAUAAUCUAUAUCUGCAAUGGUACAGGAGCAUCACCAGACGAUUCAUUUCACCAUUGAUGAGUUAGCGUCCCGAGAUGAGGUUCCGUGCUUCGGAUGGUAUGAUGGAUAUUGGGUUUUAAAGGAUCAUAUCGCUAUAUCAUACGGCAAGGAGUGGAUUCCAUUCGAUCAUUGUUGGAUGUAAGGAUCGAGCACU